GGGUGGAUGUAUAGGCAAGGAAUGUCGAGAGAGCUAUAGCUAAAGUCAAAGACGACAAACCAGGUGACUUAUUGGAGUUGCAGGACUAUAAAUCAUCGGUCAUAUGAAUCUUCAUUUGUAAAUAUGACUGCUGGUGCUGCCGAUGAUGCUAGCGAACUUGAAACAUAUACUUUUUAGGUAUGAAUGGCUUACCUCUCCUCCUCUCGCGUCUGGUGAGGCAAUUCAUCCUCGGUUCGUGCCUCUCCUCCUCUCGCGUCUGGUGAGGCAAUUCGUCCCCGAUUCCCUCUCCUCUCGCCUCUGACUUUAUGUUGCUCAUCCCCGCUCGAUUCGUCCAUUUAGAUUAGAAGAAUCGCGUAUGAUUUGUCAUUUUGCUCGUUCUCGAUUCAUCUGCCUUGAAGUGCGUCUAAUUCGACUGAUUUUGCUCGUCCUAGAUUCGCCCGUUUAGAUAGAAAAUCGCGUUUGGUUUGAUUUACUCGUCCUCCUCGUCACUUUAGAGUCGCUUGUGAUAUGAUUUUGCUUGUCCUCGUUGUCGCCCUGAUGCUCUCGCGUGUUCUUGGGGCCGUCUCGUCGGGGGUCUCCGUCCCUGCGACUCUGGGAGGAAGCGGGCGAGCAAGCGAGCGGUCGGUCGGUCUGGUUUGCGAACUAAAGUCUGUUUGAGAAACUUCUGUUCCUGCGUUUUGUGUUCACGGUGGAGCGAUAUUUCCUGUGUUUACUUGUGCGUGCGCUUCUGUUAUCUAACGAUCCUGCGUUUCGUGUUCACGGUGGAGCAAUAUUUCCUGCAUUUACUUGUGCGUGCGCUUCUGUUAUCUGACGAUCCUGCGUUUCGUGUUCGUGUCGGGGCGACGGUUGGAGGAACGAUGGGUUCUUGGUUCGGAAAUUGGAGCAGUGUCAAAUCGUUCCCUCUAUUCCAUCACAUGCGUUGUUCGUCGGUUAUUUUCAUAUCUCAAACGCAUGCGCUUGAUACUCUGGUUGCCCUCUGUCGAUUCUUGUUCUACUGACAGGCAUGUGUGCUCCCAUCCUAGAUGUAGAGAAUCCUGUUCUUGCCUGUUACAGUUGUUUUCUGAUGCUGUUCUUUUCAAUUGUUUAUUGUUAUCAUGGUUUGCUUAUGUUCCCAUAUGGCACGAUUGAUUGAUUGUUGUUUGUUGUUUGAUUGAUUGGCUUGAGAUGGAUUGUUGUUUGUUGUUUGAUUGAUUGGCUUGAGAUGGAUUGUUGUUUGUUGUUUGAUUGAUUGCCUUGAGAUGGAUUGUUGAUUGUUGUUUGAUUGAUUUCCUUGAGAUGGAUUGUUGUUUGUUGUUUGAUUGAUUGCCUUGAGAUGGAUUGUUGUUUGCUGUUUGAUUGAUUGCCUUGAGAAGGUACAAACCAUGUAGGCCGAUUGAUUGUUGUUUGUUGCCUUGAGAUAUUACAUGUUUAUAUGGCACGACUGGUUGCUGUUUGUUCAUGGUUAUUACAAUUGAUUGAUUGUUGUUUGUUGAUUGGUAUCUAAUUUUGGUAUUGGUAGUAGGUAACAGACCUGGCGCUAUUAUUUUUCUGAACUUUCUUGUGAUUAUUAUGCCUUCACAUUGCACUGCUCCCAGAUUCAUAUCGACAUGCCCACGCUGUCUGACGAGGAUAAAGAUGUUAUGAAAAAAUGGGAUGCUCCAAACAAGAUUGACUUCCUAUCUUUCUUAUACAAGGCAUGCAGAAGAUGUGUGGCAAUGUUCUUAUUUCAGAAGUUUGCUCUGCACAAGUGCAACAUGGCUGGAAAACCUGCUGCUGUUACUUGUGUUGUGGACAGUAUGAUGGACAACCUAAGGCCUACUCGUGCAGAUGCAACUGAUGUGGCAAAUGCGGUGCUGGAUGUGAUGCCAUUCUCCUUGGUGCCGAGACUCUCCGUGGGUUGUAUCCAGUUGAGACUAUUUCAACGGUAGGCAGAAUUUGUGCUGAGGUGAACUUUCUUUUGGAGGCUGAGAAUGUCUUCAACCAGGAUUUGUACUUCAAGCGAACCAUGAAAUACGUGGGAGAACCAAUGACCCUCAUGGAGUCAAUUGCUUCCUCUGAAGUGCGGGGCUGCUAUCAAAGUUAAGGCUUCGGUCAUCAUUUGCUUCACCUCAUCUGGAUAGGAGAAAAGGAGUAUUUCUUCUUAUAGGCGCUUCACCUCAUCUUUGUAGUUUAAUGGAAAUUGAUUGAUAUAUUAUGCCGUAUCGAGUAUCUGCAGGCUAAUUGCCAAGUACAGGCCCACCAUGCCAUUCCUCGUCUAAAAACAAAUCAAUUGAAGUGGAGCUUCACAGGCGCAUUUGAAGCAAGACAAUCACUCAUAGUUAGAGGCCUCUUUCCCAUGCUUGCUGAUCCACGUCACCCGGCUGAAUCUACUAGCACUAGAAAUGAAUCAGUGUUGAAGGUUGCUCUUGACCACGGCAAAGCAUCCGGUGUGAUCAAGUCACAUGGCUUACCUUAGCCAGAAUUUCUAUAAGAAUGUCGCUCAUGUUACAUGCCUUGCUUUCUCUA